GACGAACCGUGCGAACGUUAUUCGGAAUCACUGGGCUUAAAGCGCGUGUAGGCGGGCCGCCCCGUCGGCUGCUGAAAUCCCCCGGCUCAACCGGGGAAGUGGCACCGAUACGAGCGGCCUCGAGGGGGGUAGGGGGUCUGGAACUUCCGGUGGAGCGGUGAAAUGCGUUGAGAUCGGAAGGAACACCGGUGGCGAAGGCGGCAUCCUGGACCGGCAUUGACGCUGAGGCGCGAAGCUAGGGGAGCA
rnacentral:rRNA from 1 species